UACGUAGGUGGCAAGCGUUGUCCGGAAUUAUUGGGCGUAAAGCGCGCGCAGGUGGUUUCUUAAGUCUGAUGUGAAAGCCCACGGCUCAACCGUGGAGGGUCAUUGGAAACUGGGAGACUUGAGUGCAGAAGAGGAUAGUGGAAUUCCAAGUGUAGCGGUGAAAUGCGUAGAUAUUAGGAGGAACACCAGUGGCGAAGGCGGCUUACUGGACUGUAACUGACACUGAGGCUCGAAAGCGUGGGGAGCAAACAGG
rnacentral:rRNA from 1 species